rnacentral:rRNA from 1 species
GAGUUUGAUCUUGGCUCAGGAUGAACGCUGGCGGCGUGCCUAAUACAUGCAAGUCGAGCGAACGGACGAGAAGCUUGCUUCUCUGAUGUUAGCGGCGGACGGGUGAGUAACACGUGGAUAACCUACCUAUAAGACUGGGAUAACUUCGGGAAACCGGAGCUAAUACCGGAUAAUAUUUUGGACCGCAUGGUUCAAAAGUGAAAGACGGUCUUGCUGUCACUUAUAGAUGGAUCCGCGCUGCAUUAGCUAGUUGGUAAGGUAACGGCUUACCAAGGCAACGAUGCAUAGCCGACCUGAGAGGGUGAUCGGCCACACUGGAACUGAGACACGGUCCAGACUCCUACGGGAGGCAGCAGUAGGGAAUCUUCCGCAAUGGGCGAAAGCCUGACGGAGCAACGCCGCGUGAGUGAUGAAGGUCUUCGGAUCGUAAAACUCUGUUAUUAGGGAAGACAUAUGUGUAAGUAACUGUGCACAUCUUGACGGUACCUAAUCAGAAAGCCACGGCUAACUACGUCG